UCCUGUCCUGUUCUAUUCUAUUCUAUUCUAUUCUAUUCUAUUCUAUUCUAUUCUAUUCUAUUCUAUUCUGUCCUGUUCUGUUCUGUUCUUUGUCUACUGUAAAAUGGAAUCUGAGGUGUUGAGCAUUCUUGAUUCUCAUGAAAGACAAAAAGAGUUAAAAGCCCAAAAUCAGAAUAAAAUUAAAAAUAAAAUAUUGCCUCAGCAGUGGAUACAGUUCUGUUCAUCUCUACUCAGAAGCUGUAAGGUUGCAGAGCUGGAAUGCAUAAACAACUGCUGCCAUUUUAUCCCAUGCUAUUUAAAUUCAUUACUUGGUACAUAAAAGUAGUUACAACUCCCAUGACAGAUGCACCUUUAUUGAUUAGAAGUAAGUUUCUUUCUGAUGAGUUAGGAAAGGCUGGGCAUUACACACAUGCAUAGGAACAAUGUACAGCUACAUAAUUUACAUCUUGCAGAAUGAAAGAAAAAGUGAAGUAUUGAUGAUUUAUUGAUUACAGCUCUCAUUUAGAUGAGGAGGUGCAGGAAGUGAUAAAUAAUGUAAAUAUUUUAAAAUUCUGUCAGUGAUAAUCUAAAGGGAAUAUUGUGAUUUGCAAUAAUACUUGGAAAAAUUCCUCCACUAAUGCCAGCAACUAGAAUUUUUUGUACAACAG
rnacentral:lncRNA from 1 species